GAUGAAGAACGUAGCGAAAUGCGAUAAGUAAUGUGAAUUGCAGAAUUCAGUGAAUCAUCGAAUCUUUGAACGCACAUUGCGCCCGCCAGUAUUCUGGCGGGCAUGCCUGUCUGAGCGUCAUUUCAACCCUCAUGCCCCUAGGGCGUGGUGUUGGGGAUCGGCCAAAGCCCGCAAGGGACGGCCGGCCCCUAAAUCUAGUGGCGGACCCGUCGUGGCCUCCCCUGCGAAGUAGUGAUAUUCCGCAUAGGAGAAGCGACGAGCCCCUGCCGUUAAACCCCCAACUUUCUCAGGUUGACCUCAGACCAGGUAGGAAUACCCGCUGAACUUAAGCAUAUCAAUAAGCGGAGGA
rnacentral:misc_RNA from 1 species